UACGGGGGGGGCAAGCGUUGUUCGGAAUUACUGGGCGUAAAGGGCUCGUAGGUGGCCAACUAAGUCAGACGUGAGAUCCCUCGGCUUAACCGGGGAACUGCGUCUGAUACUGGGUGGCUUGAAUCCGGGAGAGGGAUGCGGAAUUCCAGGUGUAGCGGUGAAAUGCGUAGAUAUCUGGAGGAACACCGGUGGCGAAGGCGGCAUCCUGGACCGGUAUUGACGCUGAGGCGCGAAAGCCAGGGGAGCAAACGGG
rnacentral:rRNA from 1 species